rnacentral:rRNA from 1 species
GAUGAACGCUAGCGGCAGGCUUAAUACAUGCAAGUCAAGGGGGUAGCAAUACAACCGGCGCACGGGUGAGUAACGCGUACACAACAUACCAUAUACUGGGGUAUAGCUUUGGGAAACUGAAGGUAAUCCCCCAUAACAUUGCGAGAGGGCAUCUGAUUGCAAUUAAAGUUUCGGCGGUAUAUGAUUGGUGUGCGUUUGAUUAGCUAGUUGGUAGGGUAACGGCCUACCAAGGCGACGAUCAAUAGCUGGCGUGAGAGCGCGACCAGCCACACUGGAACUGAGACACGGUCCAGACUCCUACGGGAGGCAGCAGUAGGGAAUAUUGGACAAUGGAGGAAACUCUGAUCCAGCCAUGCCGCGUGAUAGAUGAAGGCCCUCUGGGUUGUAAAUAUCUUUUAUCUGGGAAGAAACAAUCUUAUUCUUAAGAUCUUGACGGUACCAGAGGAAUAAGCACCGGCUAACUCCGUGCCAGCAGCCGCGGUAAU